rnacentral:ncRNA from 1 species
CGAUCCAAGCUCAGGUGAGAACACCCGCUGAGUUUAAGCAUAUAAUUAAGCAGAGGAGAAUAAACUUACAAGGAUUCCCCUGGUAACGACGAGCGAACUUGGAAGAACCCAACAUGAAAAUUGGGUGGCAGCACUGCUUGAAUUGUAGUUUGUAGAAGUGUCCUUAGUGGUGGACCAGGCCCAAUUCCCUUGGAAUGGGGCACCUGAGAGGGUGACAGCCCCGUCGGGCCGGGACCCUGCCGCACCAUUGUUGUGGGUGGGAAAUCCCUCCUACGGACUAGCACUAAGGGUUUUAUCAUGCAUGCAGAAAUGACCUAAAGAUUCUUAAUUUUUACCAUCAUCGUAUGCCUAGACCCCCAUUACUCAUAUGUAAACACAAGGCUCAAGAGAUUAAGUUGACGUACCUUAUUCUUCGUGUUUGAUGUCGAUCCCUUUUCACACUUGGUCGUUCUUUGACUAAAACUCUCCUCCCAAUGCUGACCUGCAUUCACUAAAGACAAACAAAGAACUCCACAUGCAUUUGAUAUAUGAAAUAAUAGGUUAGAGAGUUAAUCAAUCAUACAAUCAAUGUUCCAAUAAUGAUAAUCUCAUAUGGUGGGACGGGAAAAUCAAUUCUUUUAUUAACUUCACAAUGAUACCUUACAAUGAUAAAGUCAACUACUGCUCCUCUAUCCUAGUCCUGGGCUCUUCUUCCACUGUCUUCCAACUUCUUUUCUCCAUACUUCUGUUUGCACAAAUAUGGCUAAAGGUUGGGACAAAGGGAAUGCUCAAUCGGGUAUAGUUUCUUUACUAUGAUUAUCCUCCUUUCAAAUGGGACCCCUACCCCUUCUUUUAUAGGCUAGAAGGAGCUAGGUAUUUGGUCGAAUGACCGUCCAUGGAUGGCUAAAAGGUUUAGUUAACUUGCCCAAAGCUGUGUAUUCCAUCAAAAACUUUCCUUUUUUCGUGUUCCUAAAGGUCCACGCGGGCUGUAGUGGGUUAGCUAGCGUGGACAUUGUAGAUACACGCGGGCUAUAGUGGAGAAGGGUGUGUGUGCCAUUAAAAAUGGAGUUUUUUAGAAGAGAUGUUCAGUAGAGUCUUGGAAAAGAAGGAAUAUGAGAUGGCCUGAUGCCAGGUAAGCAUGUUUGGUGAAAAUUAGGGUUAUAA